UACGAAGGGUGCAAACGUUGCUCGGAAUUACUGGGCGUAAAGCGCACGUAGGCGGAUCGAUCAGUCAGGGGUGAAAUCCCAGGGCUCAACCCUGGAACUGCCUUUGAUACUGUCGAUCUGGAGUAUGGAAGAGGUGAGUGGAAUUCCUAGUGUAGAGGUGAAAUUCGUAGAUAUUAGGAAGAACACCAGUGGCGAAGGCGGCUCACUGGUCCGGUACUGACGCUGAGGUGCGAAAGCGUGGGGAGCAAACAGG
rnacentral:rRNA from 1 species